GAAAUGCGAUAAGUAGUGUGAAUUGCAGAAUUCAGUGAAUCAUCGAAUCUUUGAACGCACAUUGCGCCCCUUGGUAUUCCAUGGGGCAUGCCUUUUCGAGCGUCAUUUGUACCCUCAAGCUCUGCUUGGUGUUGGGUGUUUGUCCCCGUCUCCGCGCGUGGACUCGCCCCAAAGUGAUUGGCAGCCGGCGUACUGGUCCCGGAGCGCAGCACAUGUCGCGCAAACGAGUGCCUUGGUACGGCGGCGUCCAUAAGCCCCUCUCUCACGCUCUUGACCUCGGAUCAGGUAGGGAUACCCGCUGAACUUAAGC
rnacentral:misc_RNA from 1 species